rnacentral:rRNA from 1 species
CUGAAGCCGCUGGGCUAACCUCUCAGGAGGAGGCACGCGUCGAGGGUGGGGUCGGUGAUUGGGGUGAAGUCGUAACAAGGUAGCCGUACCGGAAGGUGCGGCUGGAUCACCUCCUUU